UACGGAGGAUGCGAGCGUUAUCCGGAAUUAUUGGGUUUAAAGGGUGCGCAGGCUGCGUACUAAGUCAGAGGUGAAAUCCCAAUGCUUAACAUUGGAACUGCCUUUGAUACUGGUAUGCUUGAGUUUGGUUGAGGUAGGCGGAAUACAGCAUGUAGCGGUGAAAUGCAUAGAUAUGCUGUAGAACACCGAUAGCGAAGGCAGCUUACUAAGCCAUAACUGACGCUCAUGCACGAAAGCGUGGGUAGCGAACAGG
rnacentral:rRNA from 1 species